UUUGAACAUGCUGAACAAACCAGCAAUUUGGUGUGUGGGUCAAGAUGAAGUUCUUCAUUUAUCUGCUUUGCUGUACUGCACAUUUAACUACUGGCUGCGUGUUGUCAGCAUACGAUCCCUUGGAAAUUUUCAAGUCCUUGGAUGAGUCUGUGCUGUUGCCCUGCUCUUGCACUGACCCGCAGGCCACACCUGAGGGUGUUAAAUGGGAGACGACAAGCCGAACGGCCUCCACCAAAGCCCAAUGGAGCAGCCUGUCCAAUGUGAUUGAUAAAUAUGGACACAGAAUCCAGAUGUUUAACAAGUACUCUUCAGGGAACCUGUCUCUGCUUCUCACUGAACUGACUAAGGAGGACCAGGGUACUUAUGUCUGUGGAAAUGGGAUGAAGAACAGAUUUAUCCGGCUCUUUGUCACAGGGCAAACAAGAGCACAAAGACAGGAAAGGAAGAGACAGAUUGCUCAGACAACAGCACCACAGGAAGAGAACACUUCACCCACUGUACAUACCAGUCAUUCUAAAACACAGGACUCUGAAUCUGCAUAUGUCAACCUUGGCCAGAAUAGCACAUCUGGCCCAGUACAGGACAGUCCACUGUACUGCAGCCUGGCAUACAGGUAUGACCCUGAAGCAUAUUCCACUAUAGAGCACACUAAAAGACCAUUAGUCAAUCAGGUUGCUACACUGGACGCUUUCUACAGUAAUGCUGCGAGACAAACUGCACACAGCCAGCAGACUAGAGUUUAUGUCAAUCUUAAACCCUUACAGAAUUCACACUUACUCUAGUGUUUCUAACCCUGCUCCAUUCAAGAUGAUCCUCACUCUUCUCUACACCAGGAAAUGUACCAGUGACUACCAGUCAUCUACCCCAGAAAUCAUGUAACAUCAGAGAAUGUGAAACAGAGACUGAAAUCUAUAUUUGUGAGGUUUGGUAUCCCAGAGGUCCGACCCUGCAGCCAGGCUCUGUAGAUUACACAGUUGUGGAAAGGGUCCAAGUGGGGGUGUCAGCUGUGGGGCCUGUCAAAGCCCAUUGAGACAUACUGUAUGUGAAUAUGGGCUAUAUAAGAAAUAAAUGUUGAUGAGGACCAAGUGAACA
rnacentral:lncRNA from 1 species